CUGCUCAUUUCAGCAGCACCUACACUAAAAUUGGAACGAUACAGAGGAGAUCAGUAUGGCCCCUGCACAGAAAUGACAUCAAAUCAAUGAAUUGUUCUGUAGAUUG